rnacentral:lncRNA from 1 species
AUCAUUGAAUGAAUGUAAAUGUAAAAAGUACAUACCAAUUAAACUCUUUCGUAAAACCCAACAGGAGAGAAGAAAAAAAAAAAUCCCCAAAACCCCUUCUCAAAACACAAAAAUUGUAUGUUGAAUUACAUCGCCUCCAUUUCCGUAGCUACCUUUCUUCCACCACUCUCUGCACACACCGCUUAUUAUACUACACUUAU